GGAGCUCUCCCAUAUGGUCGACCUGCAGGCGGCCGCGAAUUCACUAGUGAUUGUUUGAUCCUGGCUCAGAUUGAACGCUGGCGGCAGGCUUAACACAUGCAAGUCGAACGGUAACAGAGAAUAGCUUGCUAUUUUGCUGACGAGUGGCGGACGGGUGAGUAAUGCUUGGGAAUUUGCCGAAAGGUGGGGGACAACAGUUGGAAACGACUGCUAAUACCGCAUAAUGUCUACGGACCAAAGGUGGCCUCUAUUUAUAUGCUAUCGCCUUUCGAUGAGCCCAAGUGGGAUUAGCUAGUUGGUAAGGUAAUGGCUUACCAAGGCGACGAUCCCUAGCUGGUCUUAGAGGAUGACCAGCCACACUGGAACUGAGACACGGUCCAGACUCCUACGGGAGGCAGCAGUGGGGAAUAUUGCACAAUGGGGGAAACCCUGAUGCAGCCAUGCCGCGUGUGUGAAGAAGGCUUUCGGGUUGUAAAGCACUUUCAGCGAGGAGGAAAGGGUGAUGGCUAAUAUCCAUCAUCUGUGACGUUACUCGCAGAAGAAGCACCGGCUAACUCCGUGCCAGCAGCCGCGGUAAUACGGAGGGUGCAAGCGUUAAUCGGAAUUACUGGGCGUAAAGCGCGCGUAGGUGGUUAAUUAAGUCAGAUGUGAAAGCCCAGGGCUCAACCUUGGAACUGCAUUUGAAACUGGUUGACUAGAGUUUUGUAGAGGGUGGUAGGAAUUUCAGGUGUAGCGGGUGAAAUGCGUAGAGAUCUGAAGGAAUACCAGUGGCGAAGG
rnacentral:rRNA from 1 species